rnacentral:rRNA from 1 species
UACGUAGGGGGCGAGCGUUGUCCGGAGUUACUGGGCGUAAAGCGCUUGUAGGCGGUCCACCAAGUUUGGGGUGACAGUUGCCGACUUAAUCGGCAAAGUGCCUCAAAGACUGGCGGACUUGAGGGCCACAGAGGGACAUGGAACUCCAGGUGUAGUGGUGAAAUGCGUAGAUAUCGGGAGGAACACCUGUGGCGAAAGCGGCUCACUGGACCGCAACUGACGCUGAGGCGCGAAAGCUAGGGGAGCAAACAGG